rnacentral:tRNA from 1 species
GCUCAGUUGGUUAAACAACUGACUUCAGCUCAGGUUGUGAUCUCAUGGUUCGUGAGUUCGAGCCUCACGUUGAGCU